GAAACGUGUUUUCAUCGUGUCUCUUUCCCAUUUUCUUCCUUCAGGAACCGACGGAAUCGAAACAAACGAGAGAACGAAACAGGAGCCCCCGGGCCCCGUUUAUCCCCCUUGGAGGAGCCGCGGCUUGGAGCCAAAUCGACCGAAAGACGCCUCGUGCCCCAGAGUCGGGAAAGAAAAGUCCCAGGCCCCCUGCUUUAUGCUGAAGUCCAGCACCCCCUGGUGCCUCGAGCCCCCCCCCCGCCCCCC